AAUGAACGUUGGCGGCGUGGAUUAGGCAUGCAAGUCGUACGUGCACCCGCAAGGGGAAAGUGGCGAAAGGGAGAGGAAUACGUGGGUUACCAACCUUCUGGUCGGGGAUAGCGGCGGGAAACUGCCAUUAAUACCCGAUAAUGUCUGCGGACCAAAGGUGUGAUUCCGCCGGAAGACGGGCCCGCGUCCUAUUAGCUAGUUGGUAGGGUAAUGGCCUACCAAGGCAAUGAUGGGUAUGGGGCGUGAGAGCGUGCCCCCACUCACUGGGACUGAGACACUGCCCAGACACCUACGGGUGGCUGCAGUCGAGGAUCUUCGGCAAUGGGCGCAAGCCUGACCGAGCGACGCCGCGUGUGGGAUGAAGGCCUUCGGGUUGUAAACCACUGUCGUAGGGGAGGAAGGCCGUGUGCAGAGCACGGUUUGACCGAUCCUAGGAGGAAGUCCAGGCUAACCUCGUGCCAGCAGCCGCUGUAAAAC
rnacentral:rRNA from 1 species